UACAGGGGGUGCAAACGUUGCUCGGAAUUAUUGGGCGUAAAGCGCGCGUAGGCGGUGACUCAAGUCGGAUGUGAAAGCCCUUGGCUUAACCGAGGAAGUGCAUCCGAAACUGAGUCGCUAGAGUACGAUAGAGGGUCGCGGAAUUCCCGGUGUAGUGGUGAAAUGCGUAGAGAUCGGGAGGAACACCCGUGGCGAAGGCGGCCUGCUGGGCCGAUCCUGACGCUGAGGCGCGAAGGCGUGGGGAGCGAACGGG
rnacentral:rRNA from 1 species